rnacentral:lncRNA from 1 species
AGGGCUCUGUGCUAAGUGCUUUCUAAUUAUUUUUUCAUUUAUUUUUCACAGUAACCUCAGCACGUAUGUGUUAUUAUUAUCCCCAUUUUAUAAAUGAGGAAACAAGCCAAUUUAGGUGAAGUACCUUGCCCAGGGUCACAAAAUUGUGGAUCAUUGCCAGGUAUGAAGAGGAAAUGGAUCUCAUUUUUGGUGAGAAAGCCUUGCAUUCCAUAUUUUCU